AAAUUUGCAAUAAAAAAGAGGAGUAGCAAAAAAUUUUUAUUUAGAGAAAAGUCGUUUGGUGAAAGACUUUAAAAAUUUUUGUGAAGGUUGCUUUUUUGCACCUUUUAGGCGAAUGAUCCCGUUAGAGAUUUUAAAGAGCCUCAAAUUUGAGGAAUUAAGGUGGUACCGCGUCUCUCGUCCUUAUU
rnacentral:ncRNA from 1 species